rnacentral:rRNA from 1 species
GACGAACGCUGGCGGCGUGCCUAAUACAUGCAAGUUGAGCGCUGAAGGUUGGUACUUGUACCCACUGGAUGAGCAGCGAACGGGUGAGUAACGCGUGGGGAAUCUGCCUUUGAGCGGGGGACAACAUUUGGAAACGAAUGCUAAUACCGCAUAAAAACUUGAAACACAAGGUUUAAGUUUGAAAGAUGCAAUUGCGUCACUCAAAGAUGAUCCCGCGUUGUAUUAGCUAGUUUGUGAGGUAAAGGCUCACCAAAGCGAUGAUACCUAGCCGACCUGAGAGGGUGAUCGGCCACAUUGGGACCUGUACACGGCCCAAACCCCUACGGGAGGCAGCAGUAGGGAAUCUUCGGCAAUGGACGAAAGUCUGACCGAGCAACGCCGCGGGAGUUAAGAAGGUUUUCGGAUCGUAAAACUCUGUUGGUAGAGAAGAACGUUGGUGAGAGUGGAAAGCUCAUCAAGUGACGGUAACUACCCAGAAAGGGACGGCUAACUACGUG